GGUGGAGCCCCAGGAGCGCUGAGGAUGCACCACCUGCAGCUGGGGCUGCUCCCCGGCCCGGCGACAUCCCGGCUCUGGCAGCCAAACAGGGCAGUUCUGCUCCCUUUGGAGGGUAUCCCUGGUGUUGGAUUGCCUUGUGGCUGUGGGAUGUUCCUGUCCCUGGGUCCCUCAUGGCCGAGGACAGCUGCCGCUUCUCGGUGAGGGCGGGAGCCAGAAUUGAUCACCUGAUGUCUGCUGAGUACAGGAGAUGCAGGAGCUGAGGGGGAAGAAACACAGGCUGUUAAACUGAGUGCAACAUCCAGGAGUGCCUUGUCCAAGAAGCUGGGUACUGAAAAGGAAACCCUGCAAUGGAGCCUCGAGGCAGGGAAGCAGCUGCUCCAGUAGUGAUGGGGAUUCUUUUCUUUUGGCUCCCUUAUCUUCUUUGUCCUCAUGAGUGACGAACAGGGAAAGCAAACUUGGCUCCUCGUGCAACGCAUGGCUUGUGGGAGCGGCAAAACCACCUCAGUGCUGCUAUGGAGUGCUAAUAAAAUACUUGUUAGUGGCCUUGGCUAUUUACGGACCUCAUGUUGGAGCUGCAGUGGGGGUUUCCCUAUUGGUCCACGUUACAGGAAGCCGCACCGCGGACGAGGAGCUAAAAUCGUAUUUUACAGUCUGGAUCAGCAAAUCUUUUGAAGUUCAUUGAUUAAAGCUCGGCACAAAGUUAUUUCUGGCUGGCAGUUCUGACCUGUCCCUGACUUUGCGGAGAGAGUCUGGAGAACGCCAGGGCUCCGUGCGCUACAGCGCUUGGGCUGGUACCGAAUGGAGGAGCAGGGGGUGGCCGGGGGGGACACUGGGUGAAGCACAGCGGUGACAAGCACCACGCAGCUCCCUGUGGGACACAGACAGAUGUGGCUCCGUGUUUCCUGCAGGAACAGGCUCCCGGCACCCCUCUGAGGGAGGCAGCGGCUCAGGCAGGGUGCAGGGAGCUCCUUGGGUGACAACCUUGUGGCUCAAUAAAUGAGGCUCUGUUCGACUUCCUGGACGGACAGUGGGCUGGCUGUACUGAAAGAGGAAUUGCAGAGCUCUUGGAGAAAGGCAGAAUCCUCCUGAAAUCUGCAGGUGUAAGAGCUGCUAGAAAAAUUUUAAAUGCUUUGUACUAAAUUCAGCAGAAGCUGAGAAUGAAGUUUCAAGAAGGAGUUAAGGGAGAGAAAACAUCUAAAAUAAAUCUCUGACUCUGUCUAUCUGCUAAAGGGCCAGAAAAGGAGAGGAAAAAAGAAAAGUGGUUGAAAGCAUUGUAUGGAGGCUGGAAAUCCUUUGUGGAGUGAAGCUGCUCUCUUAUCCUCUUGUUUGAGAAGGGACUCGAUAUUUGUCUUCUGGGCACAAUUGAGAGAAAAUGUUCUGUGUGAUUUAGGAAAUCAACACAAUUCAUUCAAUUCACCUAGCGAAAGAAAAAUCACAAGACAUCGCCCAUGAUUAAACCAAUCUAGUGCCAUUCUGUUCUGGUCUCAGACAUUCCCCAGUCAGAAAAACAAGGGAACAUCUUCAGAUGGGUUCUUUGCUGUAUAAGAAAUGUGGGGUGAUUUCUUUUUCACCAACCAAUCCUGGUUCUAAAUCUACAACCAAUUUAUUUUCAAUGUACUUAAACUGGAACUACAAAACUUUAAGUCAAUAUUAUGAAAACACUCCACACCAAAGACUACCCCAAAACAUUUCCCCCCACCAAAAAUACCCAAACACACAAAUCAAAAAAUCAAACACAAAACCAAAAUCAACCAACCAAACUAAAAAAAGAACAAAACCCAACACACAAACCCAGAAGGAAGGGUAAAUGUACUCUUACUGGUGUCCUUGGAGAGCUCUCACCUCCAAAUGUUACAAGGUGACUGUGCCGGACAGGUUUUUGUCCUGAACAUCUUCUAAGAAUGAUUAUUUGUCCUCAUUCAUUGCUUUGUAAGAGUCCCCUUCCCUCUAGGUCAGUCCAUGAGCACUAUGCACAGCUCCCUGGAAUCAAUCAGGGAACUUUGUAUUAGUUUCAGGCUCAUUAUUUUUCCAGGGGAAAAAAAAAAAAAAAAAAAAAAAAAAAAAAGUGGAGACAUGUAAUAAGAUCAGUUACCUGUGGAGGUAAUUUAAAUUCUUCUCUCUCUAGUUAAUGAGCAGAAUAGACAGGAACCUAAAGAUGAAGGUGGUUAUGCCAGUGCUGUCAAAAUCUGCAUAAAAGGGGCGGAAAACUAAGACUAAAAUAAUGACUUUGUGUAGAAUUAACAGAAAAUUCUCAACAAUUGGCAUUAAUGUUCCCAGGGAAGUGAUGUAAAUAUCUGGUUAUUUGACUUCAGUCAGACUUUACAUGCUUAAAGCCGAAUCACAGCAGAUGAAACAGCACAAUUUUAAGUCACCGGUUCCUGCCUAACGAGUUCCCUUAGCAUCGCUCAGGGCAGCCAUUGCCAGCCUUUGUGGAACACGGUACUUGUGAUUAACGCGGACAGGGAAUUCACCGCGUGAGGCUCUUGAGUUAGAAAGAUAUGCAAAGCUUUCAUCCCAAGCUGCCAUUUGUACACUGCUAAAUGCAGCAUCCCAAAUCCUGAGAGCAGCUUCUCCCAUUUUGUAGAACGAGUAGCAAACAUCCUGCUGGAGAAGGUUCCUGUCAGGCUUUCGCUGUGCUAUCUUGGCAUAUAUUUUAUAUCUGGUAUCACAGAUUUCUGUGUGGGAGCUAGGGAACUUGUUCGUGGCAGGGACCAUCCUAAGGAUGUUUGUGUUUUACACGUGUCAUCGUGGACUUGGGAUACUCGGGAGUGUCUUCGCCGUGCCCGCUCGUCUUGUAGGGUGCUUUUAUUGCCAUGGAUCGGCUGCUAAAUCACUGUUUACUCAGCCCCUCUGCUUUGCUUUAAGAGUUCUGCCACUGCAAACCAGCUCAGAGAGACCGAUUCCUGAGCCGAAGGAUCCUACACUGAUAACAGCGCUGAUAAAGCCCGGGAAGAGACGGGAUGAGCCGCUGGAACCGCUGCCGCCCCGGCCACUGAAGGGCUGCCUCCCAGAAGAUGGAGCUAUUUCCCUGAGACUGCUGAUGGAGACGCUAAAUUCAGCAUCGCACGAAAUUGGGGGAUUCUUAGAGAUGUCAGAGAACUAUUCUUCUCAGCUGAGAGGAAGAAAAAAAGAAAUGAGUGUGCUGACCAUAGUUAUUUUGUUAUAAAAUAAAGGGUUUGUUUGUUUUUUUACCU